AACCUCACCACUGCUCGGAUUGUGGGAAACAGUUCAUUGUAAAAUCAAGCCUUAAACAUCACCGGCUAGUGUUUCACACAGACCACCCUCAUCGCUGUGGUCAAUGUAAGAAGAGCUUCAUAACUGCAGAAAGACUGGAAUCACACAUUAAGACACAACACCCGCCAAGGGAUCCUCUGAAGAACCCACACGUGUGCUUUGAAUGUGGAAAGGGCUUCCAUCAGGCCGGCUGUCUUAAGAGACACCUGAGGACUCAUACGGGGGAGAAACCAUUUGUUUGCCCUCGUUGUGGGAGGGCUUGGAGUGAUUCUGGAAACUUAAAAAGACACAUGAGAAAAACUCACCCAGGAGAGGAGAUGGUUGUUAAGAGGGUUGACACUCAGAGGAGUGACCCUACAGAGAGUAGGGAGGAAAUGAAUGUGGAUUCAAUUAAAUCUGAGGAGCAGGGAACGUCUCGGUCACUCCAGCUGAAAGAGGACAUCAGAAGGAUACUGGUGGAUGCCAGAGGUGCACCAAUGAGUCCCAACCAAUCCGAUGAUUAUUCUGAAGACGGUGACGAGGGAGUGACUUGGUUGCCUAGCAACAGACUGGAGGCGAAAUCUGAUCUAGAGAGGCACACGCCAGAGCAGAGGGAGAGUGAUGUGACUACUUCCCAGUCAGAAAGUGUUUUUCUCAAACCACACUUGUGCACUAAAUGCGGUAAGGGAUUCAAAAAAGCCGGCUGUCUUAAGAGACACCUGAGGACUCAUACGGGGGAGAAACCAUUUGUUUGCUCUUGUUGUGGGAAGGCUUGGAGUGAUUCUGGAAACUUAAAAAGACACAUGAGAAAAACUCACCCAGGAGAGGAGAUGGUUGUUAAGAGGGUCGACACUCAGAGGAGUGACCCUACAGGAAGUAGGGAGGAAAUUAAUGUGGAUUCAAUUAAAUCUGAGGAGCAGGGAACGUCUCGGUCACUCCAGCUGAAAGAGGAGGAUGCUUGCGGUGUGCCCGUGAGUCCCAGCCAGGCUCAUGCUGAUGAUGUAGACUGCAAUGUUGAGGACAGGGAUUGGUUGCCUAGCAUCUGACUGAAGGUGGAGCCCAUGAGUUCCGGCCAAUCCGAUGAUGACACUGCAGACCGCAAAGAAGAAUGGAAUGAAGCGGAAGGCGCCCUUCGUUGUGGGAAGGCUUGGAGUUAUUAAAGAGACCCAUGAAAAGAGCUCAACCACCACCCAAUCAGCAUGUCCCUUAUCCCUACCCACCACCCAAUCAGCAUGUCCCUUAUCCCUACCCACCACCCAAUCAGCAUGUCCCUUAUCCCUACCCACCACCCAAUCAGCAUGUCCCUUAUCCCUACCCACCACCCAAUCAGCAUGUCCCUUAUCCCUACCCACCACCCAAUCAGCAUGUCCCUUAUCCCUACCCACAUCAGACACCAUGGUAACCUGGUUUACACCUGUCCAAUCCCUUAUAGAUGUGUUGACUACUGUGCGAUGUGUUUUAAAGGGGGGUUAUUUGAUGUUGUAGUUGUUUUUGAUGGAGACAGGUUAGAAGUAGAGACGGAGACAGAUGAGGAGGGAAGACAGCGAAAAGUAGAUGCAGGGAUUGAACCCUGGUCUCCAGUGGGGAGGCUGAGGCAUACAUAGAGCAUCCAGCUGUGCUACCACAAGACUACAGGCUAUGUACAGAAGGAAGCAUUUCUAAAAGUAUUGGAACACUGCCCUAGACUCAGCCUGUCCCAAAUAACACCUUAUGCUCUACAUAGUGCACUACUUUUGACCCCUGCCCAUCGGGGUGCCAUUUUGAAUUCAGGAUGUCCCAAAUCCCAACUUACCACAUGCCCUUGCUUGGCCCUCACUAGUGCUGUGGCAGUCAGCAGGUGAUUGGCAAGCAAAUAACUGCCAAGUAAAUAACUGCCAAGCAAAUAACUGCCAAGCAAAUAACUGCCAAGUAAAUAACUGCCAAGCAAAUAACUGCCAAGCAAAUAACUGCCAAGCAAAUAACUGCCGGUCUCAUGGCAAUUGAAUGUUUAAUUGUCAUAAACAUGUUUAGCCUACAAGCCACUGAUGCAGACCUUUGGGCUCCCGAGUGGCGCAGCGGUCUAAGGCACAGCAUCUCAGUGCUAUAGGCGUCACUACAGACCGUGGUUCGAUUCCAGGCUGUAUCACAACUGGCCUUGAUUGGAAGUCCCAUAGGGCGGCACACAAUUGGCCCAGCGUAGUCCGGGUUUGGCCGGGAUAGGCCUCAUUGUAAAUAAGAAUUUGUUCUUAACUGACUUGCCUAGUUAAAUAAAAAAAAUAAUAUAUAUAUUUUAAAGUAUAAACAUUUAUAUCACAAUUGAACAUAGCUUAAUAAAAGGAUAUUUUCCCCAAACGAUUUCAAUGGAAGUGCACACAUGCGGCUAUUCUGUGUUGAGAGGUUAACAAAGAAACCGGUUCUCUCAUAUGCUUCAUUCAGAGUUAUUUAUU
ensembl:lncRNA